GCUGAUGGAGGGCUCUAGUUUUGCUGCGCCGUUCGUGUCAGUGGACACUGUAGGGUCUGGGAGGGGGGGCGUGGCAUGACGCUUAGCCUGGCGGGUGGGCAAGCAAAGCCUGGCGGCCCGCCAGGCUUAUAAAGGGCUGGGGGAAACCCUGGACUGACAUCUUUUCCAUGACCACCAGAUGUAUCUUUACAUGGCUGUUUAAGAAAUGAGAAGCAGCUCACUGCACCAGCUGAGAGAUAAGCACCCAUGCAGUAAUUCACCAAAAGGAGGCUUGUACCUAUUUGCUUAGUUAAAUCCAGGUGAAGGCUUAUUUUGGCCGGUCACUGUGAAAAAGUACAUGUUCACAAAUGUGAUAGAAAAUUCCCAAAAACUCAGGGGGGCUUAUUAAGCAGCAAACUCCAAAUAAAUAUCAACAUCUGACAAUUUAGAAAUAAAAACUAAAACAAAUCAAAACAUGGAAACAAAGGUAUAAUCUUCCCAUUUCUGUCCCUUUUCCUUUUCUUUCCUUCAUUCUCUCCUUUCUAUACACAUCUCAGUAUAAUAACAUAAAAAAUGUACAGUUUAAAAUGUUGGUCCAUAUGUAUGGGAUUAGAUUUGUGCCAAUAGGAUCAAGAAAAACACUUUGAAGAUCAAACAAAUAUUAAGACAUUGAGAGAAAAAAUUUGUUUCAAAAGAAAAACUUAUGAUCUGAAUCAGAUUCUUAAAAUGAUCGAGAAAAACACUUUGAUGGUCAAACAAAAAUUAAGAAAUUGACAGAACAAAAAUAUUGACUAAAGAAAAAAAAAUGUUUCAAAAGUAAAACUUGCUAUCUGAAUCAACUUCUUAAAAUAAGUAACAAAGUAUGUUUCCUUUUUCUGUUUGCCUCUAUGUGUUUUUGUUAUCAAUUUCCUUAGUUUCAUUCUCGCUGCUCACAGCUUUGCUCUCACUACCAGAUUUGCACUUACACUGUCUGGCUUUCUCCUUUGCAAUCCCUGAGUUUUUGGUUGCAAUUCUGACACAACCCUUUCAGGUGGGUGGGACUUCUGAGAAGUCCUCUCCCAUAGGACAGUGGUUUCCCUUGAGUGACAGUUCAGUGACCUGGAAGUGAUGUAGCCAAGACUUUUUUUUUUCCACCUCGGCCAACAACAUGAAUUUUGAGCCCCAAACACGUUAUUUCUGCUGUCUGUGGUGUCUACUGAGGAUCUAGAGUAUUGAUAAUAUAUUUUAUCUUUUCUUAGUUAAUCUGUAAGUUAAGCCACUUUUUAAAUUGGUUUUAACCAGACGUUAGCUCACUAGCUAGCUGCUAAGCCAGCCAUUGUGCUAGCCUCAGGACAAUGGUCUAUUGUUCCAGAGAGACGUAUUAAAAACUCAUCUUAACAUAUCCAUUUUUAUUCCAUGUUACUUGGACGGGCUAAACAAGUUCAUAGUUCUGCCUGCUCUUUGUGCAGUAUAUUAAUGUCGAUGGUUACGACACUCCAAUAGAGAAUGGAAUGCGGGAGUCACGUGGUUUAUGUAGCUUCGAAUAGUUCCAAACAGCCCCCGCUGCUGCAUUGACCGUAGUUCAUUUUCGGUGUUUCGGAAGGAUUUUCUCCGGUAAGUUGAUGAAAUGUCAUCAUUUUGUUGCAUUGUGAAGCGUUAGCUAACCGCUUCGUACCAAAAUAAGCCAACGAUGAUAUUUUAUGUUGCCAGUUUUAGCUAGAUAACCUUUAAUGAGCUAACUGUGUGCAGCUAGUUGACUGUGAGCAGGAGGGUUUAGACAAGCUUCAUGAGCUGUAGACGGGUUUAUUUCAGCUUGUUUGAUUCUACAUUUUAAAAAAUAUUCCCCACAGUUUGAAAUAGGUUAAACUUUUUACAUUAUUAGUUUUAUUUGGGAUUUUUUGUACAAUACGUUGCUGAUUGCUGUAUCAACGCGAACAUGCAUCAGAAAUGGAAGCACAAAUGGAGAGACCAAUAAUAAAGAAAAUAUGAUUGUGAAGACAAGUAAUUAUUUAAUAUUUUUCAGUUAAUAACACUGACUACAACAAACUGCUGAAGCAUGAGACAAACAGGAUUACGAACGUAAGAAGAUAGGUUGUUUUGUUUUGUGGACUCAAGUAAUAAGAAUAGAAUUACGGUAAUUCAAGAACAGUAGUCAAACAAUAACUUUUAAAAAUGAGACAUUUUCCAUAAAACUGCUCAUUUCCACUUGCUUUAUAAUAUUAGCAUUUGCAAUUUUGUUAUUAAGGAAUGAUAAGAAAUAAGAAUUAACAAUAACAUAACUAUCAAUAAAUAAAUGUCAAAGAGUUUCUAAAACAAAAGUCUUAUGUAACCAUUAAAGGUUAAACUGUGUUGUGUGUCCAUCUUCAUGUUUUCAUAGUGGCUGAGCGGAGAGCUGACCAGAAACAACGGUGGUGGCAAAACCCAGUUGGGUCUGUGAUGGAGUGAUGCACGCCUGGAGUGAUUGCCAUCUCAUCCACAGGUUCUAACAUCAGGCAGAGGGAUACUUGUGUCCUGAAGAAACCUGUAGGCUGUUGAACCCACAGAAAAAAAGAGUUGUUUUCCAGCUGGGUUCCCUGGUUGCAUCGCCUGUUCCUUUCUCCUCCUGGCCCUGACGCCGGCUCCUCAUGGCUUCCUGGGAUGUCCCUCUCUCCUGAUACCAUCUCAUGUCCCCUCUCACUUUCCCUCAUCUCAUUUGCCUCACUGCUGCUGCUGCUUUCCUCAUUCUCUGAAUUUAUAAUGGCACUGUAAGAAUAAAGAAUCAUUUUUAAAUAAAAUAAAUAAAAAUGUCUUAAUAUUUCAAAAGAUUUGUACCGCAGUUUACUUGAGUACAACAUGUGUGGUCACUGGUCUGUGGAUCAACAUGCAGUGGUUCUGCUGUCCUUCCCACUGUGGGAUCCUUCCUCCUCCUUGGUUCAGGGCUAUGAACAGCAUCAGCCCUGAGUCUUACCUUGCCUUUCCUAAGCUUAGCAAACUGUCCCUUCUCAAAAUGUGCCUGUAGAGGGGUGUACUAGUUUAUUUCCUGCCACAUUUAACAGUUUAAUUGCAGCCUUGUGCAGUUGAGAGCAAAACAUGUAGAGCCCUGAUAGAAAACAUUUGAGGGUGCACGUUAAACUCACUGCACACAGCUUUUUGUUAAUGUGAUCUCUGGUCAUGGUGAGGUCGCUCCUGCUUACAUGAGCCAACCAUUUUCUUCUUCUCUCUGCAUCUUUGGGUAAGCCAUAAUUCUGAUUCCUCCCUCAGACCGAUUGCUAUAUGCAGCGCAGCCAACCAUGUAAGAUAAUCAACCUAUAGAGCUCCGGACCCCACGUGACUCUCAGUAGACGCCAUAUUGGCAGGUAAAAGAAGCUAAACAAAUACGGAUCGUAACCAUGAACGUGAACGGGAUCAGCUUGGAUUUUACUUUGUCGGAGUUUACUUCACACUUUAAAACUGAAGAAAUCGUUUUAUAUAGUCAGAAAUUAAAUAGACUAAACAUCUCCGACCCUUACCGUGCCCCUGGGAUACUUUUUAAAAACGCCAGAAGCUGUCGGAGUGGACUUCUUAUCGGACCUGGCCGGGGAACCCCUUGGGAUUCCCCCGGAGGAGCUGGCACAGGUGGCUGGGGAGAGGGAAGUGUGGGCCUCUCGAUGCUACUGCCCCCGCAACCCGACUCCGGAUAAGCGGAUGAAAAUGGAUGGAUGGAUGGACAAAUAACAGAUUUACAUGUAAGUAGUUUGAAUAGAGUGCUGUGCUGUUUCAAUGUUUAAACUGAACACCAAGAGAAAUCACUAGUUUGAUUUUUUUUUUCCGUGAAUAAAAUAAAUAUGUCAGGCAGGAGCGUCUCAGGAUCUGAGAGCUGUCUUGGUGAGACAGAUAAUAGCAAUCCAAAGUGCUUUUUAUGUGUGAUCUGACAAUUGAUCAACCAUUGCUUAAAAAUUAAAUACAACUUAGCCGGUUAAUUGCUGUGAUCAUAAAACACGGAAACGGCAGCACGCAGAACUCACGAGGCAACGUUUUACGCUACGUUUACUUGUUGCUAUGAGUAACAAGACAGAAAAAGCCACGCCACAAUAAGUUUAGGAAGCCCACUAAGAAUCGUAACAAAAGCAUUUAAAAUAAAUACCAUACACAGCUGAGGAAACGUUGGUUUAAGUACCUGAUAUGAAGUGGUCGCUGCAUAAGCCAAAACCUUUACUCUCGGGAUCCCACAGCUUCAUUUUACACCGGUCACUAGCGCGUUUUAUUACAAAGAUCCAACGUUUGCGGUGCUCCGGAUCUUGGGGAAUCCUGUAGAUGGCUCGUUCCUUAUGUCGUCCGCAUCUGUUCUGCAUCCUGGGGCACAACAGGAAUCUACCAUAUUUCCCGUUUGAUUGAGUUUUCUGACAAUAACAAAUAGUCCAGCUGCCGGCUUCUACCUGCCAAUAUGGCGCCGUUUCGAUUUGAACUGUUGCAUGCCGGGAGAAGUGACGUCAACUCCCGGAGCUCUAUAAAGGGAUUAUUAAAAUACAGUUUUUGUACAUAUAGAAUUAUUGAACUAAUCCAAAAAUGGAGAUGUAAAAUUACAUUUUAAAAUUUUAUCCAACCCUAAAAUUAGUCAUUUCAAAUUUUAACCCACGGACACAUUUUAUUUUAAUAAUAAUCAAAAUAAAGUUAUUCAAAAGAGUUUCAUUAGGUCUUGAGUACAUUGCUCAAAUUUAUUGAUUCAGCUUAUUUGUGCAUAUGUAAUGACUAAACAGAAUGUUGGUAAAAUGCUUUAUUAAAAAUGCUAUUAUACAUGUUGUACAAGUUUGGUGUUCAUUUUUUCACAAAUAACACUUUUUUAUCUACUGUGUUUGACCAUACAGUUUUAUUGAAAAUUUCUUUUUAAUUAGUUGCUAUAGAAGCCAGAUAAACUGGGCUGUAGAUGCAUGUACUGUCUUCACAUAAAAAUAUAAAGUAAUGAUUGUAAAAUGAAUUCUACUGAACAUAAUAGAUCAUCAUUCAAAGCACAAACAGCUACAUAUUUUCUUCAAGGUAAGCUGGAGCAGAAUUCUAGCUUUCAAUAAACACUUUAAAAUGGAUGUUACCACUCGAGUUUAGGGCUUCUUGUAGGACUUAAAGUUAUUUAAUAUGCUUAUAUUAGAGCAGUGUGUUGCAUUACUACAUCAAAUUUAUUGCUAUAGUAUAUUAUAGUAAUGUAUGUGGUCUAAAUGUGUUCUACAGUGUGUUAGGACUGUCGUGUUCCUGUAAUGUAGAACAGUCACGGGUGUUUGUCUUCCUACAAAUGCUCAGAAAAAUAUAAAUAGGCUACUUUGUGAAGGAGUUAAGACAUAAGAUAUAAUAUAAUAUAUAAUAUAAUUCAAUAAUGACCACAAAUCGCCAGGGGAAAUGUGAUUAUAUUCAAUUUUUGUGAUUUGUCCCACCAUACGCCGUUCAAACUGACUUACGGCACUGUGGGAUGUUUGGAACUGAGAGCUCCAUGAACCACGUGACCGCGAGUCGGCGAGUUCAAAGAGUGUCGUAACUCUCUCUUUCUACAGCUCUGACAGAACCCUGCCCUCCUCUCCCAAUGAUUGGACAGGAAUUCGAGAAAUGUGAUUGGUAGCUAAGACUCGUGCUCUCAUUGGUUCCACCCAAAUUCCUCCCACUGACGCUAGAAUCGAGACAGAAUGAUCCGUAACUGUAGAUUUGAGGUUUGUUCCUGUAGUGUGUUAGGAAUGUGUGUUUUUGAGAGUUUUGAUUUCAAACUUGUACAUUGAUUUUUUUAUUUUGGAAGUCUGCUAGGUAAAAACCGAAAGCUUCAUGUUUCUGAAUGAAUGUUUGAUGUUACAAAAUGAGUAAAUGUACAAAAUAAAAGUUUGAUUUUACAAAAUAAAAAUACAUGUACAAAAUGAAAAAUUCCUGUUACAAAACAAGAAAUACAAGUACAAAUUGAGAACUACAAGUUAGAAAACUAAAGUUACAAGUUACGAAUCCAAAGUUACGUGUCAUGAAACAUGUUCCAAGUUACAAAACUUGGUACAAGUUACACUUAAUAUUGUCCCAAUCCUAGCUCCAUACUCUUGUUUUCUCUCGUCUGUAAUGAUUUCUCCAUCCAUCACCUACUUGUACUCUUUCAUUUCGAGUCCACUUUCUUACAAAGGAUGCUCUUACUUCUGCUGUCUACCAUUACCAGACUAUACUUGCUGGACUGCACCCAAUCAGAUUAAAGAAUGUAUUUGGAGUGUCUGACCAGUGGUCUGUUUAGGUCUCUGUUCAGAGAGCUGGCCUUUAUGACAUAAUGAUAAGUGUUUCUGUCGUUUAUUGCUGUUGAUUGAUCUUCGUCCUUCUUGUGAGCAGGUGGGGAGUAAUGUUAUUGCUCUGAUGUGUCUUUGAGUUUUGCAGUCUGACACUGAACAUGUUUACUUUUAUGCUGUCCAGACUCCGUGGGAGGAGGAGUUAUUCAUCUCCUAUAGAAACAAAUCUUUAGGGUUUUAGAAAAAAUGUUCCUUGCAGAAUUUGCAAAUCUCUUUCCUACACCUGCUUUAGUCUCUGGAGCCAUGAAGAGUCAUUAGAUUGUUUAAAAUGUUAAUUUUUCCAUUUUUUCCCUUAAUGCUCAUAGUUUUUGUUUGA